rnacentral:rRNA from 1 species
AUGAAGCCUAAUAGUAAACCAUCUAGUGUUACUUCUGAAAUUAAAUUGAAAAGUGCAUGUUUACUUGCCACUAAAUCUGAUAUUGAUGAGCUGGAUUUCAGCAAAUCUGUUUGCUAUGCUUUUGUGUGCAAAGAGGCAUCAUUUUCAUUCGAGGACGUGCCUUCCUCUUUGCCUCCUGCUGUCACUAACAUUUUGCAGGAGUUCACUGACGUCUUUCCACAAGACGUGCCACCGGGAUUACCUCCCAUUCGAGGGAUUGAGCAUCAGAUUGACUUAAUUCCCGGUGCAUCAUUACCCAACCGUGCACCAUACCGUACCUAUCCAGAGGAAACGAAGGAGAUUAUGCGUCAAGUACAGGAGCUGCUUGACAAAGGUUAUAUACGCGAAUCCCUUAGUCCUUGUGUUGUUCCUAUUAUUCUAGUGCCGAAAAAGGAUGGUACAUCAUGUAUGUGUGUCGAUUGUAGAGGCAUUAAUAAUAUUACUAUUCGUUAUCGUCAUCCUAUUCCUAGGCUAGAUGAUAUGCUUGAUGAAUUGAGUGGCUCUACAAUAUUCUCCGAAGUUGAUUUGCGUAGUGGAUACCAUCAAAUUCGUAAGAAAUUGGGAGAUGAAUGGAAAACAACAUUUAAAACUAAGUUUGGAUUAUAUGAGUGGUUAGUCAUGCCUUUUGGGUUAACUAAUGCACCUAGUACUUUCAUGAGAUUAAUGAACAAAGUUUUACGUGCUUCCAUUGGACGAUUUGUGGUAGUUUACUUUGAUGACAUAUUGAUUUAUAGCAGAUCUUUGGAAGAACAUUUGGAACAUUUAUGUGCUGUUUUUUUUUGCUCUACGUGA